rnacentral:misc_RNA from 1 species
GCCCAAGCUAAUUUCCCCGCGUCAAGAAAACAUGAUCCUCUCGGGAAGUCGGGAUUUGAUAAAUCAGCAAUGCUCAAGAAAUUUGUUAUACAUCUUCUUUCAUCACAAUUCACAAGUCGAUGGCACCGAAGUGAACUAAUUCAACAAUUGUUGUUGUUGUUAGUGUUCCUGCACAGUAGGAGUAUCUGUCGAUCUAUGCACUGUACCGUACCAGUAUUAUUAUUAUUUUUGGUCUGUACAAGAAUGGCGCAUGUGUCAAAUUGUGUUGCUGAGCCUGAGGGAAUGAACAAAUGAAUGACAGAACAAACGCGUAGCUGCAGAGGAGACUGCAGGCAGAGACAGAGCAGGUGAACAAUGGGUGACGCCUGCCUGGCUGCCAGGAGGACGCUACGGCGACCUGGAGCGGCAGUCGAUGGGCAUGGCGGUGCCAUUGCCGGGGUAGAAGAAGAGGAAGCGGCAGGAGAUGCGCGUCCAGAACUGGAGCGAGGCGAAGAUGCCGACCUUCCAGGUGGUGCGCGCCUUGCCGAAGAGGUCGAGCGGGACGACGCCCGCCCGGAGCGCGCCGGCCAUGUACUCCAUCCCCUCGGGGCUGAGCUGGCGCCCCGCCGACACGACCUGGUAGCGGAGCGGGAAGGAGCUGCGGCGCGGCACAGCGAAGGUGCCCGCGCGGAGCAGCGCCACCUCGGCGCCGCGGAAGCCCACGGCGAGGUUGACGCGGGAGAAGGUGGCGUCGGUGCGCGAGUUGGAGUUCUCCGCCAGCACCGUCAGCGCCAGCUGCAGGUCGCGGAUGGUGCCCGACUGGUCGUACGCCAGCGUCUCCAGCCGCGCGGACGAGACCAGCAGGUACGGCGUCGUGGGCUUGUACAGCAGGUACACGGCGAACACGGUGGCGCCCGUCACGAUCACGCCGAUGGUCAGCACCGUGCACAGGAUCACCAGAAGCCACACCAGGCCGGAGCUCCAGCUCCGCUCCUCCUGCCGGAUCCGCUGCACGCCGUGCCGCCUCUUGUACCCGUGGCCGUGCUGCGCCACCUCGCCGCCUGUCGGAGAGGCAGCGGCAUGAGGGGCGCCGUGGGCUGGCUCUGCGCUCCCGUCCAUUGCUGCUCGCUCCGGCGCCGCCGUGCCGGCGAUGCCCGGGUGGAACUGGAAGGGAUUAAUACUGGAGUGGCAUGGGUGCAAAGCAGAGAGGGAAGUAUGGUAAGGUUGGGGGAGGCAAGGGUUUGGUAUCUCGCUCCAUUCAUUCCUUGCUCUCUUCCCCAGCUUCCUUUUCCCGGAGCUAAUCCUAAUCCGCAAGCUCAAGGUGCCUCCUUGCUCGCCUCGCUUGCUUGCUUU